rnacentral:rRNA from 1 species
UACGGAGGGUGCAAACGUUGCUCGGAAUCAUUGGGCGUAAAGCGCACGUAGGCGGCCCAGCAAGUCGGGUGAUGAAAGCCCUCGGGCUCAACCCGAGGAAGUGCAUUCGAAACUACUGGGCUUGAAUACUGGAGGAGGAUCGGCGGAAUUCCCGGUGUAGAGGUGAAAUUCGUAGAUAUCGGGAGGAACACCAGUGGCGAAGGCGGCGAUCUGGGGAAGAGUACUGACGCUGAGGUGCGAAAGCGAUGGGGAGCAAACAGGGAU